AAAUAAAAAAGCGCCAGAACUUAUUUCUAUUAAGUUGACGAGGACUGGAAUUAUCGAAAAUUCGGCGGAUAUUCCAGAGGUGAUUACAGCCUAAGACUUCUACAAAUCUGAAAGGUAACUUUUAGGACAAAAUGAAG
rnacentral:ncRNA from 1 species